rnacentral:rRNA from 1 species
UACGGGGGGGGCAAGCGUUGUUCGGAAUUACUGGGCGUAAAGGGCUCGUAGGCGGCCAACUAAGUCAGACGUGAAAUCCCUCGGCUUAACCGGGGAACUGCGUCUGAUACUGGAUGGCUUGAAUUCGGGAGAGGGAUGCGGAAUUCCAGGUGUAGCGGUGAAAUGCGUAGAUAUCUGGAGGAACACCGGUGGCGAAGGCGGCAUCCUGGACCGGCAUUGACGCUGAGGCGCGAAAGCCAGGGGAGCAAACGGG